rnacentral:rRNA from 1 species
UACGAGGGGGGCAAGCGUUGUUCGGAAUCACUGGGCGUAAAGGGUGCGUAGGCGGGUCUUUUAAGUCGGGGGUGAAAUCCUGGAGCUCAACUCCAGAACUGCCUUCGAUACUGGAAGACUUGAGUCCGGGAGAGGUGAGUGGAACUGCGAGUGUAGAGGUGAAAUUCGUAGAUAUUCGCAAGAACACCAGUGGCGAAGGCGGCUCACUGGCCCGGUACUGACGCUGAGGUGCGAAAGCGUGGGGGAGCAAACAGGG